rnacentral:rRNA from 1 species
GACAGAGGGUGCAAACGUUGUUCGGAAUUACUGGGCGUAAAGCGCGUGUAGGCGGCCCUGCAAGUCGGAUGUGAAAUCCCACGGCUCAACCGUGGAAGUGCAUUCGAAACUGCAGGGCUAGAGUCCUGGAGAGGAAGGUGGAAUGCUUGGUGUAGAGGUGAAAUUCGUAGAUAUCAAGCGGAACACCGGUGGCGAAGGCGGCCUUCUGGACAGUGACUGACGCUGAGACGCGAAAGCGUAGGGAGCGAACCGG